rnacentral:lncRNA from 1 species
UGCCUAGGCUAAGACAUCUGUCUUCUUUCUUCCUUACACAGGGACUUAUACCAUCAGAGUUCCUGGUUCUCAGGCCUUCGGACUCAAACCAGAGUUUACAACACUGGCUUUCCUGGGUCUCUCCUUCUCAGCUUCUCCAAGUUUCUCAAACUAAAGCCCGACUUGGGAUAGGUGAUACCAGGAAACAUGAGGAAGGCAAUGAGGAGAGUGACGCAGUAGAGGAGCCCAGCCAGGGAAGGAGACGGGAGCAAGAUUCCGAUCUGAGGGAAGAGGCACCGCAUGUCCACACCCUCAGAAGACUGGCUGGUCUUCAUUCUGUGGCUUAACAAGUGGACUUUUGGGUUUGCUGAAGAAGAAAAAGAAGGAGAAGGAGAAGAAGAAGAGAAAUGUAAUUAACAAGAAAAAAAACUUAUUUGAGGGCUAUGAACACCUUGAAUAUUUAACAGAAUAUCAGCUACUCAUCUGUAACUCAUCUGUAACCAUUCUCUACAUGGCUAAACUUUUAGUAAUAAUGUAGGUAUUUUCUGGCCAAGAGAAAGAUAGGAUAUAUGUGUGUGUGUGUGUGUGUGUGUGUGUGUGUGUGUGUGUAUAACAGAAGAAAAUGAAAAGAAAAUAAAAUAAAGGAUAUUUUGGAGUCAGUGAGUAAAUAUUUACUUUUAGAGC